GGGACCAAUGGUAGCUGCAGUCUAUCUGCAGUCCAGUGACCUGGAGGGGUCAGAGGCAGGAAGGAGAGCAACUCCAGAAAGAACCACACCAGCAAGGAAUAACUUUGCUACUUUUCCAGGAAAAUCACAUCAUCAGCUACUGACCAAGUUCCUACAGAGCCUGGGCAGAGAAUCAGAGAGAUGAUUCUCCAUGCCUGGCUUCUUUUGUUCCAUGUAUGUUUGUGAAGUGUGUUCAUGAUGCUGCACACAGCGAUACCUCACUCAUUGCUGAUAAUGAAGCCCUGUAGCUUACCCAUUUCACUGCAGUAAAUAACAUAUUGCUUCUUGUUUGUGUGUCCUGAAUCAUGAAGAUGUGCAACAAUUCCAUGAGUUUGGACAGUUGCCUACAUUUAUACAAAUGACCACCUCAGGACUCACUGCCAUUCCAGCUUCUGCAAAUGCUAAGCUCAGCUUUUCCCCACACCAGGUCCGUGUGCUAUAGGUUUUAUUAUAGCAUUUCCUAUGCGUGGUUGCAUGUAGUGGACAAUCUUUUCUGCCUGGUUUCAGUGCCUUUCAGAUUUGUCCAAACUCUUGCAUGAAUCGAUUGAAUGUACUUAUUGCUGAAUAGAAUUCUAGUAAAAAGUGUUUAUCCAUUCACGA
rnacentral:lncRNA from 1 species